CGAAAGCCUGACGGAGCAACGCCGCGUGCGGGAGGAAGGCCUUAGGGUUGUAAACCGCUUUUCUCAGGGAAGAAGAUCUGACGGUACCUGAGGAAUAAGCAUCGGCUAACUCCGUGCCAGCAGCCGCGGUAAGACGGAGGAUGCAAGCGUUAUCCGGAAUUAUUGGGCGUAAAGCGUCCGCAGGUGGCUAGUCAAGUCUGCUGUCAAAGACCAGGGCUUAACCCUGGGCCGGCAGUGGAAACUGGUUAGCUGGAGUACGGUAGGGGUAGAGGGAAUUCCUGGUGUAGCGGUGAAAUGCGUAGAGAUUGGGAAGAACACCGGUGGCGAAAGCGCUCUACUGGGUCGCACCUGACCCUCAGGGACGAAAGCUAAGGUAGCG
rnacentral:rRNA from 1 species